rnacentral:sRNA from 1 species
UGUUAGCGCGGAAAGUUAUAUAGCCAUUCGAAGGCUCUUUUGAUUCCAGAUAACACGUGUUUUUUCAUACUCUCUCAUUCAUAUGGGCGAUUCUGGUGAAGAAAUGAAUAUAGACGUAGAUAAAUUACCAAAAGACAGCACAGGAGAAACUUCUUCACUGGAAAUUUUGGACAUCGUGAAACUCUAUACGGGAGUAAUAAAGUCUCAAUUCAAGACGUUCUCGGGACAAUUGAAAGCGGAGCAGUCAGACUCUAUUUCGAAGAAACUCAAAGAAAACUCUCUACAUAAGAUUGAGUCUGAAGCCCUUUCCUUCGUUUCAUCAGCAGCAACGACAGCCAUUUCUCUACGGCCAGGGCAGAAACAAACAGUCAAGGAGGCAGCCUAUGCCGUAUGACGUCUGUUUCAACUGCUUCGCAACGGGGC